ACAUUGGUGGUUCAGGGGUAGAAUUCUUGCCUCGCAUGCGGGAGACCUGUGUUCGAUUCCCAGCCAAUGCA
rfam:Loxodonta africana unplaced genomic scaffold scaffold_5, whole genome shotgun sequence.